rnacentral:rRNA from 1 species
GGGCCCGCACAAGCGGUGGAGCAUGUGGUUUAAUUCGAUGCAACGCGAAGAACCUUACCAGGGUUUGACAUCCUGCGAAUCUCUUGGAAACGAGAGAGUGCCUUCGGGAACGCAGUGACAGGUGGUGCAUGGCUGUCGUCAGCUCGUGUCGUGAGAUGUUGGGUUAAGUCCCGCAACGAGCGCAACCCACGUCUUUAGUUGCCAGCAUUUAGUUGGGCACUCUAGAGAGACUGCCGGUGAUAAACCCGGAGGAAGGUGGGGACGACGUCAAGUCAUCAUGGCCCUUACGAGUAGGGCUACACACGUGCUACAAUGGCGCAUACAGAGGGCGGCCAACUUGCGAGAGUGAG